UACGUAGGCAGCAAGCGUUGUUCGGAGUUACUGGGCGUAAAGAGUGCGUAGGUGGUGCCCUAAGUCUGUUGUGAAAUCUCCCGGCUUAACUGGGAGGGUGCGGUGGAAACUGGGGUGCUUGAGUGUGGGAGAGGUAAGCGGAAUUCCUGGUGUAGCGGUGAAAUGCGUAGAUAUCAGGAGGAACACCGGUGGUGUAGACGGCUUACUGGACCACGCUGACACUGAGGCACGAAAGCGUGGGGAGCAAACAGG
rnacentral:rRNA from 1 species